GUAACGCGCCACUGACGACUCUCUACGGCUAGGAUUCCGCGGAAACGAAAGGAAAAUAACGAUCGAGCAGUUUUUGCUUCGUGAGAGGGAGAGAGAGAGAGAGAGAGAGCACGUGCACACUCCGACGAGAAAUAGUAACAAGAUCGACGCUGCGGAGGGGCGAGGCUUUUUUCAGGUGCAGCGAAGUCGAUCCUGGCUUGCCGUCGACCCGCAGUUUCGCCGGUACUUCCACGAGACCGCUGCCAUGCCUCUUCCGCUGCACUUUCACUCCUCAGCUGAUGCACUCUUAUAUCGUCCCGCCAAAAGCGACGGCGAGAUUAUAAUAUGAGGCGCGGGUUCGUCGCACCCCGGAGGAGGCCGUCGACCCGGCGAAAACGCGCGUCACACACUCCGCGAGGACGACGGGCUGAUCGACCACCGCAGCGAAGCGGAGAGCCGCACACCGACCGGAUCUUCACGUGGACACCGCUGAGGCUCCCGCAGGGGGGUCAACAGUGGGUGCGCGGACUCGCGCGCAAAAAAGACCGCCGGCGCACGGAGGAGAGGAAGCGCGCUGGAAUGUCGUCGCUGCUCUGUUGUGUUUCGGGGAGAAUGAGCUGGUGUGCAGAUGCGGCGAUGGAUCGCGGACUGCGAGCAGGUGUAAAGCUGAUAAGGACGCGCGCGGGGAGCAUCGGAGAUGAGAGCUUGCCGGAUGUGCUGGGCUGUCCGCAUGGCUGGAGAGUUCGGCGGAGCCGCACGAGUAGUUCCGAGGAGGAACGAGCGAACGGCCGGGCACGCAGCAGUAGCACAUCCCAUGGACCACGCGGCGGAGCAGCUACUCCCUUCCACCGCCGAACUCCCACCCACUGUGCUAACCCGGCGACUGCUGCUGGGGCUAGCUCGUGCGCGCACGAACCGACGGAGUAGAGGGGAGUGAGCGCUUUUUCGUGCCGAGAGCGCGCGAACCUGGACCGCCCGAGGCACAUCGCAAGCCGGCCAGCGCGUUCUCCGGUGCAGCGCCGGGUAAAUACCUCGCGGCCAGCGCGUCUUUCAGCGGUUCAAGAGCCGGCCUCGCUCGAUUUUUCUCCGAUGCCAACGGCUUUCUUCAGAAACGUAAUGGUCACGCGGUUCUGGGCGUUGGGGGAGUUAUUGACGGACGAUGCUCGAUGGCCCGUAUUCCAGUCGAUCCUUUCAUGAAUUUAUAGCAAGCAGAGUAUUAUUGAGCAAUGUUGUGGAAAUUAGUUUUGGAAAUUCGGAAUGCAAUAGCUUGAUCGUUUUUAGGAAGAUAGUAAAAUAUUAUUUUACCUUGUAGUUUCCAUGCAGCCCGGAAACACUUUAUCAGAUGCAAUCGUAUUCGCCAGUAACUCUGCUCGUGACGUAGGGAAACCGCAGCAAACCUAUAAUACGUACAUUCGCCGUCAGAAUUAAAUUUAGGGCUGCAUAAAAUGACGAAUAAUGGCGUACUUUAUGAAUUAUUAACCUGACUCAAGAACUUUGCAUUGUCAUUUGUUUAUUUAGCAUGUGCAUCAAACAGGCUCCUUUCACACAUUUGAAGCUCGUAUAAAAAUGUCCAUUGCAAUCUUGUUUGACAAAAUUAUGGCGCAAUGGAUCAUCUAACUCCAUACGGGUUUAGCCAAAAAAUUUGAAACAGCUUUUAAAUGUUUGAGAAAAUAUAUAAAAUUCAAAAAAUGUACUUCUAAAAUGAAUAGCGCACGAUUCAAAGUGCUAUAAGUAUCCAUAUGCCUUUCCAUAAAGUGCAAUUCAAAUUUUAGGUUUUUAUAAAAUACAUCGAAUAAAAUUGUUAUACUCUUCAAUCAAAAAUUGCAUGGUGGAAUAUAAUUAUAUGUAUUUAUUAAUUGAAAUAAGUAUACUAUGUACAAAAAUAAAGGAUUGAUAUCGUUGCAA